rnacentral:rRNA from 1 species
AUUGAACGCUGGCGGCAGGCCUAACACAUGCAAGUCGGACGGUAGCACAGAGAGCUUGCUCUCGGGUGACGAGUGGCGGACGGGUGAGUAAUGUCUGGGAAACUGCCCGAUGGAGGGGGAUAACUACUGGAAACGGUAGCUAAUACCGCAUAACGUCUUCGGACCAAAGUGGGGGACCUUCGGGCCUCACACCAUCGGAUGUGCCCAGGUGGGAUUAGCUAGUAGGUGGGGUAAUGGCUCACCUAGGCGACGAUCCCUAGCUGGUCUGAGAGGAUGACCAGCCACACUGGAACUGAGACACGGUCCAGACUCCUACGGGGGGCAGCAGUGGGGAAUAUUGCACAAUGGGCGCAAGCCUGAUGCAGCCAUGCCGCGUGUAUGAAGAAGGCCUUCGGGUUGUAAAGUACUUUCAGCGGGGAGGAAGGCGAUGGAGUUAAUAGCUUCAUCGAUUGACGUUACCCGCAGAAGAAGCACCGGCUAACUCCGUGCCAGCAGCCGCCGUAA